rnacentral:misc_RNA from 1 species
GCAAACUUGGUCAUUUAGAGGAAGUAAAAGUCGUAACAAGGUUUCCGUAGGUGAACCUGCGGAAGGAUCAUUAUCGAAAUCUCUGAAGGGAAGAGUGGAGCGAGCGAAGUUUGAAGGUUUCUAAAGUUCGUAAAGGACUGUAGCUGGCCCUUGGGGAUUUCUAAUCCCCCAGCGGCAUGUGCACGUCUGGAGACUUUGGAGGCUUUCCUAGUCCUCGUUCUCUCUCCUUUCACCAAACUCUCAAACACUUGUUGUAGGGGACCUCCUUCUUAGCGAGGGGGGAAACCUAUGUCUUUUCAUCUACACCAAAUGCAUGUCUAUAGAAUGUUAUUUUGCAGUAUCGUUUUGGCUCGCACUUUGUUGCGCUUGUCAGUCGAUCGCAAUAAAAAAAAUUAUAAAAUACAACUUUCAGCAACGGAUCUCUUGGCUCUCGCAUCGAUGAAGAACGCAGC